rnacentral:lncRNA from 1 species
GGUGUAACGUGCCUCUGUCUCAGCAGCUGUGCUGGAAACACGCAGAGUGAGCCUGGAAGGAACUAGGUCAUGACUGCAGAAGAGCGGCGUCCUGUCGGAGUGUGCUCUGGAGCAGAUUUUGGGAACAAAGUGCCUGCAUGAGUCAAGGCCAGGAAACCACAUUUCUGCCAAGCAACCAGGUGAUCUAACAUGGCUGGGCUACUGCACUCUCUUUGAGUGACUCCCAGAAUACCUGAGACUGGGUCAUUUGUAAAGAAGAGAAAUUUAUUUCUCACAGUUCUCAAGGCUGGGAAGUUGAAGAUCAAGGCACUGGAAGGUGUGAUGUCUGGUUUCAAGAUGGUGCCUUGUUACUGGGUGCUGCGGAGAUGAGGAAUACUCUUGCUCAACUGGCAGAAGAGAGAGAGCCCACUUCACAAAUCCUUUUUAUAGCAGCAUUGAUCCAGCCACGAGAUUAAAGAGGGCAGAGCCCCUAUACUUACACACCUCCUCUCAGGCCCCACCUCCCAACACUGCUACAUUGGGGUUUAGGUUUCUGUUAUGGUUUAUAUCUAGACUUCAUGCACUCUCAGGCGGAGCUUUUGGGGGUGAUUAGAUUAUGGGGUUUAAAGCUGACUUGCAGUUAGGAGGUGAGGUCUGGCGGGAAGAGGAGUGUUGCAUGGACGAGUUUAUCUCCUUGCCCAGCUCUGCUCUUGAAACUCUCUCUGCUUCCUGGUGGCCAGGUAGUGAGCAGCUCUCCUCUACCACACACCCUUGCC